rnacentral:rRNA from 1 species
AUUGAACGCUGGCGGCAGGCUUAACACAUGCAAGUCGAGCGGGGUGAUGGUGCUUGCACUAUCACUUAGCGGCGGACGGGUGAGUAAUGCUUAGGAAUCUGCCUAUUAGUGGGGGACAACAUCUCGAAAGGGAUGCUAAUACCGCAUACGUCCUACGGGAGAAAGCAGGGGAUCACUUGUGACCUUGCGCUAAUAGAUGAGCCUAAGUCGGAUUAGCUAGUUGGUGGGGUAAAGGCCUACCAAGGCGACGAUCUGUAGCGGGUCUGAGAGGAUGAUACGCCACACUGGGACUGAGACACGGCCCAGACUCCUACGGGAGGCAGCAGUGGGGAAUAUUGGACAAUGGGGGGAACCCUGAUCCAGCCAUGCCGCGUGUGUGAAGAAGGCCUUAUGGUUGUAAAGCACUUUAAGCGAGGAGGAGGCUCUUUUGGUUAAUACCCAAGAUGAGUGGACGUUACUCGCAGAAUAAGCACCGGCUAACUCUGUGCCAGCCGCCGCAGUA